GGAGGCUGGUUGAAGAUGUGUCGAAGGAAGCAUCGCAUAACAACAAGUGCGUAGGCGAAGACAGGUCGCCAUUUUGAUGAGUGUCAGUUUCUUUGUUUUUAAAGUGAAAGAUAAGCGAAAAAGAAGAAAGGAAAAGAAUUGAAAGGAGAAUACAGCAGGCGGAAUAGAAGAAGAGUUCGGGACUAAAGGAUUGCUACGCAUCUUGCUGAAAUUAGAAUGGCUUUUUCACUUUUCCACCCGGUGAUGUUUCCAAAUCCGUGUUGUGAAUAUCGUCGCUUCACGACUGCCGAUGUGCAGUUGUUCGAAGAGUUAUUCAACACGGUUCGAAGUGGUGUUUCCUUUCCCGUUGCUCCCGUAUCUGUGGUACAGCCUGUUUGGUGCAACGACUUCUACUACAAAAUCCGGGGAUGAUAUUUAUCAUCCUUCGGUUUCGGUUUCUAACAUAUAUCCGGAGCUGACGUAUUCCGAUAUCCAGAUACGACUUGAGCACCGUCAAGUCCGAUUGGCUGUUUUGAAUCAUUUGAAUGAUUCUUCUGAGGAAGAUUGAUUUGCUUUCCGUCGGUGUGCUUUUUUUUUUCACUAUGGUUUUGUUUUUGUUCUUGUUUUUGUUUUUUUGGUUUUUUUUUUAGUACUGAUUGGAAAUAAAAUCCUUUACUAGA